CACGUAGGGUGCGAGCGUUGUCCGGAAUUAUUGGGCGUAAAGAGCUCGUAGGCGGUGUGUCGCGUCGGCCGUGAAAACCUGCAGCUUAACUGUGGGCUUGCGGUCGAUACGGGCAUCACUGGAGUUCGGCAGGGGAGACUGGAAUUCCUGGUGUAGCGGUGAAAUGCGUAGAGAUCCGGAGGAACACCAGGGGCGAAGGCGGUCGACUGGCCGAGUGCUGACGCUGAGGCGCGACGGCGUGGGGAGCAAACCGG
rnacentral:rRNA from 1 species